rnacentral:tRNA from 1 species
GUCUUUAUGGUGUAACGGUAGCACACUCGGCAUAUAUUCCAGAGGUCCAGGUUUGAGUCCCGGUGGUGGCA